UGGGUGAUCUGCCCUGCACUUCGGGAUAAGCCUGGGAAACUGGGUCUAAUACCGGAUAUACCUCAUUGAUCUCC
rnacentral:rRNA from 1 species